GUUCUGAUGAAGAGUCCCAAACUAGGAUGAAACAGCUGUCCAGUAC
rnacentral:hammerhead_ribozyme from 1 species